AAAAAAAAUCCCAAGAUUUGCCAGGCACGGUGGCUCAUGCCUGUAAUCCCAGCACUUUGGGAGGCUAAGGUGGGCAGAUCACCUUACGUCAGGAGUUCGAAAUCAGCCUGGCCAACAUGGCGAAACCCUGUCUCUACUAAAUAUAUAAAAAUUAGCCGGGGGUGGUGGCAGGUGCCUGUAAUCCCAGCUACUCGGGAGGCUAAGGCAGGAGAAUUGCUUGAACCCAGGACAUGGAUGUUGCAGUGAGCCGAGACUGCACCACUGCAUUCCAGCCUGGGUGACAGAGAGUCUGUCAAAAAAAAAAAAAAAAAAAAUCUCAAGAUUUGCCCGUAUUGGAUGGACUUAAGUCAUGUGCCCGUCUCUAAACCAGUGACCAUGGCUGGCGGAUGAAAUAUGCUGGUUGACUUGGGCAUGUGCCUACACCAGCAAGGCAUUGACCAAGAGUGGGGGAAGGGCAGUUCCCCAAAAUAAAAUCUGGAUGCUGUUUCUGGAAGAAGGAGAAACAAAUGCUAAGGCAGGUAGAAACACUCAAUGUCCAAAACAUUCCCCCUUGGCUGCUAGCAUAUAUACACACACGUACUUUUCCC
rnacentral:lncRNA from 1 species